rnacentral:lncRNA from 1 species
AGCCUACCGCAGGGGCCAAUCGAGGGCCUAGAAAGCCCCAUAUGCAAAUGUGAGGGCCAGGAGGACCCCAAGUUAGGAGGAGCGCGGGUGGUGGUUAGGGCUCGUCUGGCGGCCAGUGGGAGCACGUCUCCUUAAUCCUUCGAGGAGGGGCCCGCGAGUGUGGUUGGAGCGGUACAGCGGGGCGAGACCGGGGAGUGGGAAACGCGGGGUGGGGCCAGUAUUUCCCCAGGGUCUCCUCCCUGGCUGGGGAGAUGCUCCAGUGCCUGCCUUUGGAAGGCGAGGAAGGGACGGACUCAGAAGAGAGGGAGGACAGUACCAUAGAAGAUCCGAAAGAAAUCGUCACCCUCGCUUUUGUCAGACAGAACACUGGGAUGCAAAAGGGGCUUCAGAAUGCCCAGCAGGAAGGCAAGAAGAAGAGGAAGAAAAAGAGGUUAGGAUUGAAAGAUGGGGAAUGGGGAUCCAUGUUGGCGAGAGCAGGAGGGACCUGGAGGGAAGGAGGCCUAAGCUGCUAAUAGGAGGGUCAAGGAGAAACCGUGCGCUGAGACUGUCAAAAUCACACCUCGUUCGGUUCGUAUAAAAAGAACCACUUUUGAUGAUCUGUUUUGUAGAAUCAAAUACUGAUAUGUAUAAUCUAAAACUACACCUUGUCCUCAUCUUCAUUUUGCUUGUGUUUAUAAUGCCUCCUUUUUUUUAAUUGUGUGGGGAGAGACGAUGUCCUUGUUUUAGGAAGUGCUUAUUAUCGCGGGAAUUCAAUAUACUGUAAAUAUAACAGGACUAUGCGACUUCUUAGGAUCUGACUGCAGCUUCUACAUUCCAGUUCUUAUUUAAUAUUUUUCUAUACCUUGCUCCGUUUUUGGGGGAAAUGAAUCACUCCUCAGACUGAUGGAUGUCUGAAAGCUUGUCUACUUUCUAACUCACAGAUUCCCUUAAUGGGGUGGCAAGAGGAGGGAGACCAUUAAGUAUUUUCCCCAAAAAGACGUUCACUUCCUGUUUUUGAGGGGCCACUGGAGUAAAAGGAUUGAGGAGGCGAUGACGUUAACGUGAAGCUGCAAGCAAAAUUAGCUGCAACAGCAAGACGGAAUUUCUACCUCACGGGCAGAGUAAUAGUACUCUGAGCCCACGUUUUCUGCCACUUGGCAACCCUUUGAAUCUGUGUCCUCAGUGUCAGGGACCGUCAGACCAGGCGGAAGUGAGGCUGGUUAGGUUC